CCUACGGGAGGCAGCAGUGGGGAAUAUUGGACAAUGGGCGCAAGCCUGAUCCAGCAAUGCCGCGUGAGUGAUGAAGGCCUUAGGGUUGUAAAGCUCUUUUACCAGGGAUGAUAAUGACAGUACCUGGAGAAUAAGCUCCGGCUAACUCCGUGCCAGCAGCCGCCGGUAAUACGGAGGGAGGCUAGCGUUGUUCGGAAUUACUGGGCGGUAAAGACGCACGUAGGCGGCUAUUCAAGUCAGAGGUGAAAGCCCAGUGCUCAACACUGGAACUGCCUUUGAAACUAGGUAGCUAGAAUUCUGGAGAGGUCAGUGGAAUUCCGAGUGUAGAGGUGAAAUUCGUAGAUAUUCGGAAGAACACCAGUGGCGAAGGCGACUGACUGGACAGACAUUGACGCUGAGGUGCGAAAGCGUGGGGAGCAAACAGGAUUAGAUACCCCUGGUAGUCCACGCCGUAAACGAUGAUAACCUAGCUGUCCGGGCAACUUGGGUGUCUGGGGUGGCGCNGCGUACGACGAUAGUUAGUUCCGUCCGUCGGGNGGUACGGUCGGUCGAGAAGUUAAACUAACUUAAGUUAGUAGUUAGUUGGCGNGAGACGNGCGACGGACGACGACGACGGAGGAGGAGG
rnacentral:rRNA from 1 species